AAACUGGCGCACGCUUGAGAGACCACGUAUUUUCGUCGUGCCUCUUCGAUCCACAGAUUCUUGCUGACGGAGUUGUCACUUUGAAGGACGACUUUGCUGUUCUGAGUGCAUAACUUAUAACUCCAUCUUUCACACGGGGGAAAAAAACGGCUGUCGGCAGAAGAUGUGGCAAAUUCUUGUGUGACGUCAAAUGUCAGAAUUCACAUUGAGAGAGUGAUAGGUAGGCACCUAGAACCGGUACCACAUUCUGGAUGGCCCACUUCCUCUGCGCCUGGUGAAGGGCCUGAAGGAUGAGAGAGAGAACAGAGAAGAGGCCAUAAUUGACCGAAUUGUACACGUUUGUGGGGCAUUAAUGAACAUGUCUGGCAGUUUUAUGUACAACAGUGAUUAAAUCUUAAAGUAAAGGUGUAAUAAAUGUGCCAUAGUUUAAUUGGCUGAUCCUCAGGGCAAAAUACAGUGUGUUAUUUUCAAUAUGCAACUUGUUCUUACACAAGAACUAA